rnacentral:tRNA from 1 species
GCUCGAGUGGCGGAAAAGGAAAGACGCACCAGGCGGGUAACCCCUGGCGCCCCUCGUGGGCGUGUGAGUUCGACUCUCUCCUCGAGCA